rnacentral:rRNA from 1 species
ACAUGCCUACAACAUAGUGUUAAUGCAAUGGAUCCCAUUAGAACUUUGCAGUUAAGUGCACUCGGGCUAGAGUAGUACUGGGAUGGGUGACUUCCUGGGAAGUCCUAGUGUUUUACAUGCC